rnacentral:tRNA from 1 species
UCCUUAGUGGCUCAGUGGUAAAGAAUCUGCCUGCAAUGCAGGAAACCCAAGUUCCAUCCCUGGGUCAGGAA